GACGCCCAUAUAUUCAGAAUCCACCUUAUGAGGAUUCCAAAACCCCAGAAAAAGAUCAAGCUUCCAAUAGUUAAAUCAGAAAAACGUAGCUAAAAGAAUCGUAUAGAGGUAAAGUGGGACCCUAUGUAGAGCCAUCAUUGACUCUUCCCACUUCAAAGCAAAUCAUUUGAAUGAUAGACGAAAUAAAAGCCCUUUAAAUGUGCGUCAUCAAGAGAGCAACAGAAAUACUCCAUGAAGAAAAGCGGGAGAUAAAAGUGGACUGAAAUUUCAUUCCUUGUAAUUUACACUAUAUAAGUCUUGUAAUGAAAAGUUUAUAUUGAUUCCCUUCUCUCGUCUCUUCCUCUCCUUUUUCUCCUAGGGUUUCAUCCCCUUCCAUUUGCCAUUUCAUCGGGCCGCCUCUCCUGCCCCAUCGGGCGGGAGAGGCCUCCCUCUCCCCCACCCAGCUAUGGAUUUUCCCUCUCCACUAUCGAAUGAGAUAUGGAGCUCUCUGAAGCACAUGCAAGACAAGGUUUAGAGAGUUCUGCAAUCGGAGGUUUCAGAGUUUUGCUUCUAGCGUGUCGGGGCUUCGGGAGAUCCAGGAUGGUUUGGGCCUCUUCCAGUCCGGAGCUAACGAGCAAGUCUUGGCAGCCUUCGCGGCAUGGCCUUGUCAGUGUGUAGCCUGCCACCCCCAGUUUGUUUUUGGUACUUUGACUGCCAUCUUUCUUGGGUCUUCUCUCCGUACAGACUUUCUCUUGUCUUCCCAAGACUAUCGUCUUUUGCUUCUGCUGCUUGCAAGACUGUCUUUUGCUUCUGCUGCUUACAAGACUUCCUUUGUGCUUCUUUUACUUCCCCUUUCUCCAAAUGAAGUCUCCGAUGGCCGAGUAGAGGCGCACCUCCUGUUGUUAUCAACUUUUAGAGUUGGAUAUUUUUGGGCUAUUAGGCCUCUGUAUUUGUAGCCGGCUGGGUCUUCGGCUCCUUUUGUUUGUUUUGGCCUUUGAAUUUCAUUUUUUAUAUCUUGGAUCGACCUUUUCUAAUGUUAUUAAUUUUUAGGAAAAAAAAAGUCUUCUAAUGCAAUAUUUCCAUUUAAAAAAAAUCAAUCGAAUAAUCUAUUAGUGUGAGUAAA